rnacentral:rRNA from 1 species
CGCUAUCAGAUGAGCCUAGGUCGGAUUAGCUAGUUGGUGAGGUAAAGGCUCACCAAGGCGACGAUCCGUAACUGGUCUGAGAGGAUGAUCAGUCACACUGGAACUGAGACACGGUCCAGACUCCUACGGGAGGCAGCAGUGGGGAAUAUUGGACAAUGGGCGAAAGCCUGAUCCAGCCAUGCCGCGUGUGUGAAGAAGGUCUUCGGAUUGUAAAGCACUUUAAGUUGGGAGGAAGGGCAGUAAGUUAAUACCUUGCUGUUUUGACGUUACCAACAGAAUAAGCACCGGCUAACUUCGUGCCAGCAGCCGCGGUAAUACGAAGGGUGCAAGCGUUAAUCGGAAUUACUGGGCGUAAAGCGCGCGUAGGUGGUUCGUUAAGUUGGAUGUGAAAGCCCCGGGCUCAACCUGGGAACUGCAUCCAAAACUGGCGAGCUAGAGUAUGGCAGAGGGUGGUGGAAUUUCCUGUGUAGCGGUGAAAUGCGUAGAUAUAGGAAGGAACACCAGUGGCGAAGGCGACCACCUGGGCUAAUACUGACACUGAGGUGCGAAAGCGUGGGGAGCAAACAGGUAUUAGAUACCCUGGUAGUCCACGCCGUAAGCGAUGUCGACUAGCCGUUGGGAUCCUUGAGAUCUUAGUGGCGCAGCUAACGCAUUAAGUCGACCGCCUGGGGAGUACGGCCGCAAGGUUAAAACUCAAAUGAAUUGACGGGGGCCCGCACAAGCGGUGGAGCAUGUGGAUUAAUUCGAAGCAACGCGAAGAACCUUACCAGGCCUUGACAUGCAGAGAACUUUCCAGAGAUGGAUUGGUGCCUUCGGGAACUCUGACACAGGUGCUGCAUGGCUGUCGUCAGCUCGUGUCGUGAGAUGUUGGGUUAAGUCCCGUAACGAGCGCAACCCUUGUCCUUAGUUACCAGCACGUUAAGGUGGGCACUCUAAGGAGACUGCCGGUGACAAACCGGAGGAAGGUGGGGAUGACGUCAAGUCAUCAUGGCCCUUACGGCCUGGGCUACACACGUGCUACAAUGGUCGGUACAAAGGGUUGCCAAGCCGCGAGGUGGAGCUAAUCCCAUAAAACCGAUCGUAGUCCGGAUCGCAGUCUGCAACUCGACUGCGUGAAGUCGGAAUCGCUAGUAAUCGUGAAUCAGAAUGUCACUGUGAAUACGUUCCCGGGCCUUGUACACACCGCCCGUCACACCAUGGGAGUGGGUUGCUCCAGAAGUAGCUAGUCUAACCUUCGGGGGGACGGUUACCACGGAGUGAUUCAUGACUGGGGUGAAGUCGUAACAAGGUAGCCGUAGGGGAACCUGCG